rnacentral:lncRNA from 1 species
UCAGAGUUGAAGCAGCCUAGGUGUUUUCUGUGUGUCUGUGUGAGGGGAAAUAAAAACUGCAGACUAUUUCUGUGACCACAUACAUUGUUACCAAAGUGGGCGAUGUUGCCGGACACCGACUGAGGCAGGUGUUGUUGUACAAGACUUCUGAAACGCCCCUCGUUAGCUGCAGAGAGAGGGAGGGAACAGCCAUGAGUCUGCUGUGAUAAUGGAUCGCAAAAGGACAGGCAGGAACAGAAAACAAAGAUCCUGUGACUCUAACAGUGUUGUGGAGUCUGAGUACGACGUGGUGGAUGACCAGGAGGAAGUGCUGCAUAUCCGCAUACUUCCUGCAAAGCCCAUAGAUGAUGAGCAAGACUAUGCAGUCUGCUGCUGCUGCUGCUGCAGUGUGCUGCUGGGACUGGUUACAACAAUGAUAAACUCAUGUUGUGUUUAAACUGUCGACUAACACGGGAGCUACUGAAAAUACGAUCAUUACUGUCGCCGAUCAAAGUGGGGGCAUCACAACUUCUUUUGCUUUCAAGACAGGGAUCUUCCAUGGUCUUCAUUUGCCCAUAGCCCGUCAUCACUCUCCAGUGUAAGC